rnacentral:rRNA from 1 species
CGUGCAAGGUAGCGUAAUCACUUGUCUUUUAAUUAAGGACCCGUAUGAAUGACAAAACGAGGGCUCAACUGUCUCCUUCUUUUAGUCAAUGAAAUUGAUCUCCCCGUGCAGAAGCGGGGAUUCAUUCAUAAGACGAGAAGACCCUAUGAAGCUUUAGACAAUCGGACAUACCCUGUUAAUACACCCCCAUAAAAGGGCCAAAACCUACCCACCCAUGUCCCCGUCUUAGGUUGGGGCGACCCCGGGGAACAAAAACCCCCCACGUGGAAUAGUAGCAUCCGCUAUCCACAACCGAGAGCCACGACUCCAAAAACCAGAACCUCUGACCACAAAUAUGACCCGGCAAUGCCGAUCAACGAACCAAGUUACUCUAGGGAUAACAGCGCAAUCCCCUUUUUAGAGGCCGCAUCAACAAGGGGGUUUACGACCUCGAUGUUGGAUCAGGACAUCCUA